AUCAGAGACUGAAAUAAUAGCUUGUAGAUCGGCGAGACACUCCGCCGGAAGAGAGAGGAACGUGUUCAUAAACAAAUCGUCGAUGGUCUCAACUUUCGCGACGCCGACGAGUCUACACUUUCCUUCUUCGUCCAGUCUCUCUCCUUUCCCUCUCUUGUUCUCUCCUAUCGAUUCCUCCGUCGUCAACACAGUUCUCACCACCAACGCCGGAGCUCUGUAUAUCCCUCCUCCCG
rnacentral:sRNA from 1 species